ACUAAAUGUGAAUAAGCCUAAAGGCGCAAUGAAAGUGAAAGUCGUCCUAAGCGUCGAUGGAGGGAGGAUGGCCCGGGUUCGCUCGGGUCCGCACUCCCGGGGCGUCUCACGGUCGUUACGACCAGAGGCGCACCCAGAGCGUACACGUUGGGACCCGAAAGAUGGUGAACUAUGCCUGGUCAGGACGAAGUCAGGGGAAACCCUGAUGGAGGUCCGUAGCGAUUCUGACGUGCAAAUCGAUCGUCGGAACUGGGUAUAGGGGCGAAAGACUAAUCGAACCAUCUAGUAGCUGGUUCCCUCCGAAGUUUCCCUCAGGAUAGCUGGCACUCGCUCGAUAGCGAGUCUCAUCUGGUAAAGCGAAUGAUUAGAGGCCUUGGGGCCGAAACGACCUCAACCUAUUCUCAAACUUUAAAUGGGUGAGAUCUCUGGCUUGCUUGAACGUUGAAGCCAUGAGAUCGCGCCUCGUUGUGUAAAAACACGAGUGCGUCACGGAUCAGAGUGCCAAGUGGGCCAAUUUUGGUAAGCAGAACUGGCGCUGUGGGA
rnacentral:rRNA from 1 species